UUAAGCGACUAAGCGUACACGGUGGAUGCCCUGGCAGUCAGAGGCGAUGAAGGACGUGCUAAUCUGCGAUAAGCGUCGGUAAGGUGAUAUGAACCGUUAUAACCGGCGAUUUCCGAAUGGGGAAACCCAGUGUGAUUCGUCACACUAUCAUUAACUGAAUCCAUAGGUUAAUGAGGCGAACCGGGGGAACUGAAACAUCUAAGUACCCCGAGGAAAAGAAAUCAACCGAGAUUCCCCCAGUAGCGGCGAGCGAACGGGGAGCAGCCCAGAGCCUGAAUCAGUGUGUGUGUUAGUGGAAGCGUCUGGAAAGGCGCGCGAUACAGGGUGACAGCCCCGUACACAAAAAUGCACAUACUGUGAGCUCGAUGAGUAGGGCGGGACACGUGGUAUCCUGUCUGAAUAUGGGGGGACCAUCCUCCAAGGCUAAAUACUCCUGACUGACCGAUAGUGAACCAGUACCGUGAGGGAAAGGCGAAAAGAACCCCGGCGAGGGGAGUGAAAAAGAACCUGAAACCGUGUACGUACAAGCAGUGGGAGCACAGAGCAAUCUGUGUGACUGCGUACCUUUUGUAUAAUGGGUCAGCGACUUAUAUUCUGUAGCAAGGUUAACCGAAUAGGGGAGCCGAAGGGAAACCGAGUCUUAACUGGGCGUUAAGUUGCAGGGUAUAGACCCGAAACCCGGUGAUCUAGCCAUGGGCAGGUUGAAGGUUGGGUAACACUAACUGGAGGACCGAACCGACUAAUGUUGAAAAAUUAGCGGAUGACUUGUGGCUGGGGGUGAAAGGCCAAUCAAACCGGGAGAUAGCUGGUUCUCCCCGAAAGCUAUUUAGGUAGCGCCUCGUGAAUUCAUCUCCGGGGGUAGAGCACUGUUUCGGCAAGGGGGUCAUCCCGACUUACCAACCCGAUGCAAACUGCGAAUACCGGAGAAUGUUAUCACGGGAGACACACGGCGGGUGCUAACGUCCGUCGUGAAGAGGGAAACAACCCAGACCGCCAGCUAAGGUCCCAAAGUCAUGGUUAAGUGGGAAACGAUGUGGGAAGGCCCAGACAGCCAGGAUGUUGGCUUAGAAGCAGCCAUCAUUUAAAGAAAGCGUAAUAGCUCACUGGUCGAGUCGGCCUGCGCGGAAGAUGUAACGGGGCUAAACCAUGCACCGAAGCUGCGGCAGCGACGCUGAUGCGUUGUUGGGUAGGGGAGCGUUCUGUAAGCCUGUGAAGGUGUGCUGUGAGGCAUGCUGGAGGUAUCAGAAGUGCGAAUGCUGACAUAAGUAACGAUAAAGCGGGUGAAAAGCCCGCUCGCCGGAAGACCAAGGGUUCCUGUCCAACGUUAAUCGGGGCAGGGUGAGUCGACCCCUAAGGCGAGGCCGAAAGGCGUAGUCGAUGGGAAACAGGUUAAUAUUCCUGUACUUGGUGUUACUGCGAAGGGGGGACGGAGAAGGCUAUGUUGGCCGGGCGACGGUUGUCCCGGUUUAAGCGUGUAGGCUGGUUUUCCAGGCAAAUCCGGAAAAUCAAGGCUGAGGCGUGAUGACGAGGCACUACGGUGCUGAAGCAACAAAUGCCCUGCUUCCAGGAAAAGCCUCUAAGCAUCAGGUAACAUCAAAUCGUACCCCAAACCGACACAGGUGGUCAGGUAGAGAAUACCAAGGCGCUUGAGAGAACUCGGGUGAAGGAACUAGGCAAAAUGGUGCCGUAACUUCGGGAGAAGGCACGCUGAUAUGUAGGUGAAGUCCCUCGCGGAUGGAGCUGAAAUCAGUCGAAGAUACCAGCUGGCUGCAACUGUUUAUUAAAAACACAGCACUGUGCAAACACGAAAGUGGACGUAUACGGUGUGACGCCUGCCCGGUGCCGGAAGGUUAAUUGAUGGGGUCAGCGCAAGCGAAGCUCUUGAUCGAAGCCCCGGUAAACGGCGGCCGUAACUAUAACGGUCCUAAGGUAGCGAAAUUCCUUGUCGGGUAAGUUCCGACCUGCACGAAUGGCGUAAUGAUGGCCAGGCUGUCUCCACCCGAGACUCAGUGAAAUUGAACUCGCUGUGAAGAUGCAGUGUACCCGCGGCAAGACGGAAAGACCCCGUGAACCUUUACUAUAGCUUGACACUGAACAUUGAGCCUUGAUGUGUAGGAUAGGUGGGAGGCUUUGAAGUGUGGACGCCAGUCUGCAUGGAGCCGACCUUGAAAUACCACCCUUUAAUGUUUGAUGUUCUAACGUUGACCCGUAAUCCGGGUUGCGGACAGUGUCUGGUGGGUAGUUUGACUGGGGCGGUCUCCUCCUAAAGAGUAACGGAGGAGCACGAAGGUUGGCUAAUCCUGGUCGGACAUCAGGAGGUUAGUGCAAUGGCAUAAGCCAGCUUGACUGCGAGCGUGACGGCGCGAGCAGGUGCGAAAGCAGGUCAUAGUGAUCCGGUGGUUCUGAAUGGAAGGGCCAUCGCUCAACGGAUAAAAGGUACUCCGGGGAUAACAGGCUGAUACCGCCCAAGAGUUCAUAUCGACGGCGGUGUUUGGCACCUCGAUGUCGGCUCAUCACAUCCUGGGGCUGAAGUAGGUCCCAAGGGUAUGGCUGUUCGCCAUUUAAAGUGGUACGCGAGCUGGGUUUAGAACGUCGUGAGACAGUUCGGUCCCUAUCUGCCGUGGGCGCUGGAGAACUGAGGGGGGCUGCUCCUAGUACGAGAGGACCGGAGUGGACGCAUCACUGGUGUUCGGGUUGUCAUGCCAAUGGCACUGCCCGGUAGCUAAAUGCGGAAGAGAUAAGUGCUGAAAGCAUCUAAGCACGAAACUUGCCCCGAGAUGAGUUCUCCCUGACUCCUUGAGAGUCCUGAAGGAACGUUGAAGACGACGACGUUGAUAGGCCGGGUGUGUAAGCGCAGCGAUGCGUUGAGCUAACCGGUACUAAUGAACCGUGAGGCUUAACCUU
rnacentral:rRNA from 1 species